GAGACAGGUGGUGCAUGGUUGUCGUCAGCUCGUGUCGUGAGAUGUUGGGUUAAGUCCCGCAACGAGCGCAACCCUUGUGUUUAGUUUGCAAACAGGUCAGGCUGUGCACUCUAGACAGACUGCCGUGGACAACACGGAGGAAGGUGGGGAUGACGUCAAAUCAUCAUGCCCCUUAUGAUCUGGGCUACACACGUGCUACAAUGGCCGGUACAACGGGCAGCGAAGGAGCGAUCCGGAGCGAAUCCUAAAAAGCCGGUCCCAGUUCGGAUUGCAGGCUGAAACUCGCCUACAUGAAGUUGGAGUUGCUAGUAAUCGCGAAUCAGAAUGUCGCGGUGAAUGCGUUCCCGGGUCUU
rnacentral:rRNA from 1 species